rnacentral:rRNA from 1 species
AUUGAACGCUGGCGGCAGGCCUAACACAUGCAAGUCGAACGAGCGGCGGACGGGUGAGUAAUGUAUGGGAAACUGCCUGAUAGAGGGGGAUAACUACUGGAAACGGUGGCUAAUACCGCAUACGAUCGUUUGAACCCAGAUGGGAUUAGCUAGUAGGUGGGGUAAAGGCUCACCUAGGCGACCAUCCCUACCUGGUCUGAGAGGAGGAUCAGCCACACUGGGACUGAGACACGGCCCAGACUCCUACGGGAGGCAGCAGUGGGGAAUAUUGCACAAUGGGCGCAAGCCUGAUGCAGCCAUGCCGCGUGUAUGAAGAAGGCCUUCGGGUUGUAAAGUACUUUCAGCGGGGAGGCGUUACCCGCAGAAGAAGCAACGGCUAACUCCGUGCCAGCAGCCGCGGUAAUAC